rnacentral:rRNA from 1 species
UACGAAGGGGGCUAGCGUUGUUCGGAAUUACUGGGCGUAAAGCGCACGCAGGCGGCUCGUUGAAUUAGAAGUGAAAGCCCUGAGCUCAACCCGGGAAUUGCUUUUAAGACUGGCGAGCUAGAGUCCGGAAGAGGGUAGUGGAAUUCCCAGUGUAGAGGUGGAAUUCGUAGAUAUUGGGAAGAACACCGGUGGCGAAGGCGGCUACCUGGUCCGGUACUGACGCUCAGGUGCGAAAGCGUGGGGAGCAAACAGG